CCAGCCUCCUCCAAAGCCUGAAUCCUCUUCAGGAGGACAGGUAGUGGAAACCUUCAAGUGACCAUCCUGCUACUAGAAGGGUUACUAUGACUUAACUAUUACACUUCCUGCCCAUAGAGACCCCCCUCCCGUCCCCCUGCUUCAUCAGCAGAGCAGGAGUGAUCCCUCUUUGCCUUCAGAAGACAAGUGACCCAGAAGAUAAAAGGUCACAUGAGGAAGGUCUCCUUCCAUGACUCCCCUUCCCCUUGCCCAUGUCUACAAGGGCAAAUCACAGCUGGGAGCUGCAGAUCAGGUUUCCACCUCCUAUCAGAACUUGGGACCAGCAGCAGUGUGGCACAAAUAACACCGCUAGAACAACCAAGCAGGAUACUUGAGCUACCUCAUUUCUGAAUUCAUUUCUAGAGCCUCAGUAUAUUUUUUUCCAAUUGCAGUUGCAGCAUGGAACAUUGACAAUUGUCUCCAUCUGUUAACUAAAAUGAUUAACUGUAAUUCCCCGUACAGGACUAGAACACUGACCAUAUGUGUUUUGAAGUGCAGAUCUGAAAACCGUAACCACAGACAUACUUGGAGAGCACGUUCUGUGCUUAUAAAAAGGCAGAAGUUGGUAGAAGUUUGGCCCCUGUCACUGCAUGCAGGGAUCCACCAGCAGUUUUACUUAAACCCUCCUACUGAAAGUAAUAGUCUCCUCUUGCCUGCAGCAAGUGGAAGUACCCAGCAGAAAAGAUUUGAGGACAAGAAGUAGCCACCAACAGGCUUGUACUAUCACCUCAGAAAGUGGGGGCCAGUAGCAAUAGAGAGAAAGCUGGCAAAUUUGUGGCACGGCCAGAUAAGCCACACACAGGAGUAAGAACAAAAGUAACAGCAUGGCCAAAUCACAAGGAUCUUCACAUAGAAUCACUCUGUCUCUGUGCUGUUUCUUGUCCUCCCCCAACACAAAAGGCUCUUGCUGCCACUGGCUUCCCCCACAUGCUGGCAGCAUGGCUGUGACUCCCUCUGACGGUGGAGAAGGAUGAUCAGAGGAUAUGUAGCUGCUCAGAAAUGCUGUAACUGCAUUCUGGAUAUGAUCCCAUUUACCAAAAAUAAUGGUACACAAAGUACAGCCUUUUCCCGGCCCCUCUCUUCCAUCCAGCCCAUAUCCCUCACACUGGUGCCAACGCUCACAAUUUUAUUGUGAAUCUUGUCUUAUUUUUUUUAACUUAAAGUCCCAUUUCCUGGAGACCUGUGGUUAUGUGAGAAUCUUCCUUUACUUUUUGUGGGUUUUCUUUAAACAAAUGUUGCUAACCUUCCUGGACAUAGAAUUUGGAAAAUGUAAAACCUAAAAAGCUAACAAACUAGACGGCAAAUAA